rnacentral:rRNA from 1 species
UACGUAGGGGGCAAGCGUUGUCCGGAUUUAUUGGGCGUAAAGAGCGUGUAGGCGGCCAGGUAGGUCCGUUGUGAAAACUCGAGGCUCAACCUCGAGACGCCGAUGGAAACCAUCUGGCUAGAGUCCGGAAGAGGAGAGUGGAAUUCCCGGUGUAGUGGUGAAAUGCGCAGAUAUCGGGAAGAACACCCGUGGCUAAGGCGGCUCUCUAGUACGGUACUGACGCUGAGACGCGAAAGCGUGGGGAGCGAACAGG